ACAUGAAGAGAAAGAAAGGGAUUAGGGGGAGCGACCAUGGACCUAAGGAUGAAUGACGUCUUCCAUGCCAGCAUGGCAUGGGACGGCCUCGCUUGUCUCCUAUGUUUUACCCGUGACCCGUUGUCACCGUUCUCGGUCAUUGACGUCCACAUGCAGGAUCAGUGCUCCACAGUCCGAAGCGAGAUGGCAUGUGUCUCUUUUUGCCAAUAGCUUGGUGUAUGCGGUGCAACGGUGUCCAGUGGUUCCCAGGAGGCGUUGUGUCACUUCUAAUCAGUAGUAGCAGGUGCUUCUUGUUGGGGGUGUAGCCACUUAUGUGCUCAUGCUCAACAGUGAGCUGGUGGUGUUUGCUACUCCCUCCGUCCGGAAAUACUUGCCAUCAAAAUGGAUAAAAGGGAUGUAUCUAGACGUAUAGAGAGUACUUGGUUAUCUUUUUUUUUUUGACUAAGAUUUCCUCGUCACUUUGUAUCGGUUUGAUCAUUUGGCUUUAUUUAUAAAGCAUAGCGAA